CCUACGGGAGGCAGCAGUGAGGAAUAUUGGUCAAUGGCCGGAAGGCUGAACCAGCCAAGCCGCGUGAAGGACGAAGGUGCCAAGCAUUGUAAACUUCUUUUGUCAGGGAAGAGUAGAAGACGGUACCUGCUGAAUAAGCCACGGCUAACUACGUGCCAGCAGCCGCGGUAAUACGUAGGCGGCAAGCGUUGUCCGGAUUUACUGGGUGUAAAGGGCGUGUAGCCGGGUUGACAAGUCAGAUGUGAAAUCCUGCGGCUUAACCGCAGAACUGCAUUUGAAACUGUUGAUCUUGAGUACUGGAGAGGCAGACGGAAUUCCUGGUGUAGCGGUGAAAUGCGUAGAUAUUAGGAGGAACACCGAUGGCGAAGGCAGUCUACUGAACAGCGACUGACGGUGAGGCGCGAAAGCGUGGGGAUCAAACAGGAUUAGAUACCCGAGUAGUC
rnacentral:rRNA from 1 species